CAGUAGCCGCGGGAAUACGUAGGUGGCAAGCGUUGUCCGGAAUUAUUGGGCGUAAAGGGCUCGCAGGCGGUUUCUUAAGUCUGAUGUGAAAGCCCCCGGCUCAACCGGGGAGGGUCAUUGGAAACUGGGAAACUUGAGUGCAGAAGAGGAGAGUGGAAUUCCACGUGUAGCGGUGAAAUGCGUAGAGAUGUGGAGGAACACCAGUGGCGAAGGCGACUCUCUGGUCUGUAACUGACGCUGAGGAGCGAAAGCGUGGGGAGCGAACAGGAUUAGAGACCCCUGUAGUCCCUGUCUCUUAUAA
rnacentral:rRNA from 1 species